GAUGAACGCUGACAGAAUGCUUAACACAUGCAAGUCUAUGAGAAGAUCUACUUCGGUAGAAGGUAUCAUGGCGGACGGGUGAGUAACGCGUAAAGAACUUGCCUCUUAGACUGGGAUAACAGAUGGAAACGUCUGAUAAGACUAGAUAUAAUAGCGACAUGGCAUCAUGUUGUUAUGAAAGGUAACACUAAGAGAGAGCUUUGCGUCCUAUUAGUUAGUUGGUGAGGUAAUGGCUCACCAAGACGAUGAUAGGUAGCCGGCCUGAGAGGGUGAACGGCCACAAGGGGACUGAGAUACGGCCCUUACUCUUACGGGAGGCAGCAGUGGGGAAUAUUGGACAAUGGAGGAAACUCUGAUCCAGCAAUUCUGUGUGCACGAUGAAGGUUUUCGGAUCGUAAAGUGCUUUCAGUAGGGAAGAAGAAAGUGACGGUACCUACAGAAGAAGCGACGGCUAAAUACGUGCCAGCAGCCGCGGUAAAACGU
rnacentral:rRNA from 1 species